UACGAAGGGGGCUAGCGUUGCUCGGAAUCACUGGGCGUAAAGCGCACGUAGGCGGAUCUUUAAGUCAGGGGUGAAAUCCCAAGGCUCAACCUUGGAACUGCCUUUGAUACUGGGGAUCUCGAGUCCGGAAGAGGUUGGUGGAACUGCGAGUGUAGAGGUGAAAUUCGUAGAUAUUCGGAAGAACACCAGUGGCGAAGGCGGCCAACUGGUCCGGUACUGACGCUGAGGUGCGAAAGCGUGGGGAGCAAACAGG
rnacentral:rRNA from 1 species